rnacentral:lncRNA from 1 species
AGAAGAUUGGGAUGUUAACAUCACAAGAAUGUAUUGAGUCAUUUCCGCAUCAUCUUAACCACACUAUGACAACACUAGCUUUUCUUUGAUGCUGUUUCCAGGUGUAAGUACAGAGCUGGGGUUGGGAGAGACUGGUAGCUUCCUGUAUAUAUGAAAUACAGGAUACAAUUUAAAAUGGCUGUUUGUGAAUUCAUAAAUGUAAGUAAUUGGAACAAAGCUCAAAACUCUCUUUUUUGUUUAAUUCUUCUACAGGCUACACACAAGUCCAAAAGGGAUAGAACUUUGUGACUAUUUUUGACAGUGUCGAGUGGCCCCUCAUCUUUGGGCAUUUUGGAGCAGAUAGGGACAUAGCAACAUAGCUGUACAAGCUGAAUCUGCUACGUCUUCAAUAUAAUUUCCUAAUUAUGACUUUUUUCUUCCUUCGUAGAAAGAUCCACAUAUCCUCUAUGAAGCAGCGGGUAGAAGAAACAAUGGCAGCGGCAGCUUUUUAAAAAGAGAGAGAACAUUCACAAACGUGAAGACUUUGUGUGGGAAAAUAUGUCUUUCCAAAUUCAAAAGAAUGAGUAUUUGGAACAUUGAUCGUUCUGCCUCUCUAUAGCUUUUCAAAUAGUCCCACAGAUUUCAAAUGUGUUUAAUGAAUCAGGAAUAGAGCUAAAUGAAAGAGCCUUAUUUGACUGAGAGAUUAAAGAGAAAUUGCAAUUUGUUUUACAAAACAGUGAGAACAUCAAGGAGUACUCACAACAACUGCCAGUGCCUCUUGGGAUCAAAUAAUUUGGAAGCAUGAAGUGCCCAAAGAACAAGAGAGGAAGCAAUUUGCAGGAAGGAGUUUGCUACUUUGCAAGAAAUUUAUUAGAAUACCAGUUCUCAGGGGGAAAGACUUCUAAGAAUUCAGGGCAAUUAGACUGUGUUUUCAAAAAAUGUUUUGGACAGGGAAUAUAAUAAAAUAAUCCAGUAUCUGCCACUCAUCACUCGGU